CACGUAGGGUGCGAGCGUUGUCCGGAUUUAUUGGGCGUAAGGGCCCGUAGGCGGUUUGGUAAGUCGGGCGUCAAAACUCCAGGCUCAACCUGGAGCGGCCAUCCGAUACUGCCAUGACUUGAGUCUGGUAGGGGAGUGCGGAAUUCCUGGUGUAGCGGUGAGAUGCGCAGAUAUCAGGAGGAACACCGGUGGCGAAGGCGGCACUCUGGGCCAGUACUGACGCUGAUGGGCGAAAGCGUGGGGAGCAAACAGG
rnacentral:rRNA from 1 species